rnacentral:rRNA from 1 species
UACGUAGGGGGCGAGCGUUGUCCGGAGUUACUGGGCGUAAAGCGCACGCAGGCGGUCUGCUAAGUUUGGAGUGACAGUUGGUGGCUUAACUGCCAAAGUGCUUCGAAAACUGACAGACUUGAGGGCUUCAGAGGGACACGGAAUUCCGCGUGUAGCAGUGAAAUGCGUAGAGAUGCGGAGGAACACCGAUGGCGAAGGCAGCCCCCUGGGCUAACACUGACGCUCAGGCACGAAAGCGUGGGGAGCAAACAGG